GCAGGCGGCUCACGCCGCGGUCGGCAUUGAUCUCAUUUGCAUGCAGGGCGCGCCUGGGGCUGUGGCGUAACGUCGUUCUCCCGCCCGCUUGCCGGGGCGCGAUUUACAUCUCAUUUGCAUGCAGCGCGGCGGCGCGGAGCCAUGGCGGCGGCGUACCGGCACGGCGGCAGCGCGCCGCGGGGCAGAGCCGGGGCCCAGCGCGGCGGAGAGAAGAAGUGCUCGUGGGCAUCCUACAUGACCAACUCGCCCACCCUCAUCGUGAUGAUCGGGCUGCCCGCCCGCGGCAAGACCUACGUCUCCAAGAAGCUGACGCGCUACCUCAACUGGAUCGGGGUGCCCACCCGAGUGUUCAAUUUAGGGGUGUAUCGCCGGGAAGCGGUCAAGUCCUACAAAUCCUACGACUUCUUCAGGCACGAUAACAAGGAGGCGAUGGAGAUCCGCAAACGAUGUGCCUUAGUGGCCCUACAGGACGUGAAGGCGUACCUCCUGGAGGAGUGUGGGCAGAUAGCUGUGUUCGAUGCAACCAACACAACUCGGGAAAGACGGGACCUGAUCUUAAAUUUUGCGAAGGAAAAUGCUUUCAAGGUGUUCUUUGUGGAAUCUGUCUGUGACGAUCCGGAGGUCAUCGCUGCCAACAUCCUGGAGGUGAAGGUCUCCAGCCCCGAUUACCCAGAAAGAAACAGGGAGAACGUGAUGGAUGAUUUCCUGAAGAGGAUCGAGUGCUACAAGGUCACGUACCAGCCCCUCGAUCCUGAUGAGUAUGACAAAGAUCUUUCCUUCAUUAAAGUGAUCAAUGUGGGACAGCGGUUCCUAGUGAACAGAGUCCAAGAUUACAUCCAGAGCAAAAUCGUCUAUUACCUGAUGAACAUCCACGUGCAGCCGCGCACCAUCUACCUCUGCCGGCACGGCGAGAGCGAGUAUAACCUCGUUGGCAAGAUUGGUGGGGACUCUGGGCUGUCACCGCGCGGCAAGCAGUUUGCACAGGCGCUGAAGAAGUUCAUCGAGGAGCAGGAGAUUGCGGAGCUGAAGGUGUGGACCAGCCAGCUGAAGCGCACCAUCCAGACAGCGGAGUCGCUGGGGGUCACCUACGAGCAGUGGAAGAUCCUCAACGAGAUUGAUGCUGGGGUGUGCGAAGAAAUGACGUAUGCAGAGAUCGAAGCCAAAUACCCCGACGAGUUUGCCUUGAGGGAUCAGGAGAAAUACCUCUAUCGCUAUCCUGGAGGAGAGUCCUACCAGGACUUGGUUCAGCGCCUGGAGCCAGUAAUUAUGGAGCUGGAGCGGCAGGGCAACGUCCUCGUCAUCUCCCACCAGGCAGUGAUGAGGUGCCUCCUGGCUUACUUUCUGGAUAAGAGUGCAGACGAGCUGCCCUACCUGCGCUGCCCCCUGCACGCCAUCCUCAAGCUCACCCCGGUCGCCUAUGGUUGUAAAGUGGAGACGAUCACCUUGAACGUGGAAGCAGUGAACACCCACCGGGACAAACCUUCCCUGAACUCAAGCCGCCUUCCCACGAGCCAGAGCCCGGGCAGGAUGAGGAGGAGCAGCCUGACGCCGCUGGCCAGCGCGGCCACGGAGCAGCGCCCGCGGCAUCACAGCGUUGGGAGCGGCCCCCCUGACCUGCAGGUUCGAGGUGCAGCUGCUCGGCCCCGGCUGCAAACCACUGCCCAGGUGGUGCCUUGCUCUGCUUGCCCUCCCCUGCCACCCGUGUCACCCAACCAUGGCCGUGGUCCCGGCAGAAAUACCCCGAAAUACCCAAAUGCCACUGGGAAUCGUUCUGUAUUAGGCACCCUUAAAAUAACCGAGGAAAUGCAUGAAAAUCUCUCAGUUAAACUGGAAUUGUGGUGCCAGAGGUUUACAAAACCUGGCCCCACGCAGGCGAGUUUCCAUCAGUAGGGCGGUUCAUUCUGGGUCGUGCUUUCCAACAAGAGCUUGAUUGGAAAGCGUUACAAAUAUCAUCUCUCUCCAAAUUUGAUGGUGCAGCCAAGUGUUGCUCUAGCUGUAGUGCAGUUGGUGGGGAAAAUCCCUGUGCUCGGUGCCCACAUUCCUGUGGGUCCCACCAGCAGCUGGUUGAGCAAAGGUUGGGCCCCUGGUAUUUGGAUGCCGCUUGGUUUUUGCCACCUAGCACUUGGUUUGGUUUGAAACCAUGUGGAUCCCUAUCAGGGUGGAAUGUGAAGCCCCGUUUGCUUCUUUGCAGAUUGAGAAUUGGUUCCCUUUGCUGCGUCCCAUCACAUGAGGUGGAGGGGACGUGGGGGCUCCUGGUUGGGGACCUCGUGCAUUUUGUUCCCCUCGCUGCAGAGUGAGACUUCUCAGUAGAACUGUGGCUCUUUUAUAGGGGAUUUUAUUUUUAGAUAACAAUGGUGAACAGCUUUCAUCUCGCACAUUUCGCAGCUCGGUAUUUUCCAAGCUGUUUGCAGUUGUGCUUCUUGUAGUUGUGAUGUUGUACCAUGAAAAACUUUGAAGCUCAGGGGCAUCCAGAAGCCAAUGCUUUCAGCAUGGGUGGGGAUGGUGAGAGCUGUCCUGGAGCUCUGCCCUGGAUGGAGCCACUCAGUGAGCUCGGGUGCAAGCCUGCAGCGAUCUCCCCACCCUGAACCCCUUGGGUUGCUUCCCUUCCUUCCUCAUUUCCUUCAGUGCUGUUACUGUUGCUUGUAAACUGUCUUUGAAAUGCACUUUGAGCUCUCCUAUGCUGUUUCUUUUUCCUUUGCAGCCUCAAGUGGGAAAUGCUUGCCUAGGCUGGCUGGCCUAGCAGUGUAAGGCUGGGGCUUCACGGCGGCAUCGGAUGGGAGGAGCCCGGCGGGACCCGGUGCCACCAGGGAGCACAGUGAGCGCGGGCAGCAGUGUCCCCACCGCGCUUCCCGCUGCCGUGUCCUGUCCUUGUGAGCACUCAGUGACCGCAGAAAACUUCCUGCAAAGAUAUUUUUUUUGGCUGCUUUUAAUGCGUGUGAGUGUGUGUGUGAGCAGCAGGACGUGGGAGCGAGCUGUCCCCAUGCUUUGUGUGCGCUGCUCGGGGCUGCCUCUGUGCCUCUCCUCCUGUGCUCGCUGAAGCAACUUCUCUUUGGAAGCUGUUCUCAUCAGACCCAGUCCCCCAGGUUUUAUUCAAUCUUUGCCGUCUCUGAGCUCAAGCACAGUUACUCAGUGCUAUUUAAUAAGCAGAAGCACUCCAGGUAUCGCUUGGCUUCCAUGGCUGUUGCUUUGAAUCCCCAGACCUGAGCCUCUUGCUUUGCUUUGGGGAGGGUUUUGCACGUGCUGUGACAGAAGGCAUUCAUAGGAUUCCCAGUGCUACGAGAUGUCCCAUCUCAGGGGACAAGGACAUGGAUGUGCCCGUUGCCAUCCGAGAGCAGCCAAGCUGCUUUUGGGCUCACAUCCUGCUUUGGUUUUGCACCUGCUGCACGCCUCGCCCUGUCCUUUCUCCUGGGCUUCAUGGAUGCUUUUCUCUUGCAGGAGAAAUGCCUCACUCUGCACUGCACAGCACUGUUUUCUUCCUGCAUUCCAUGCUUACUGUCCUGUUCCCUUUACCUUAGCCAAAACCUCUCACGAUCAGCUUGGGUGUUUUGUACUCACGCACAAGUGAUGCAUCAGAGAAUCGUGGAUUCACUGACCAAAGCUGAGUAAUGCUAAUUCUGCAGAACAUUUCCUAUUGCUCGAGAUAAUUUUGUUGGCAGAAGGUAGUGAGGGGCCUGGGCUGUGGGUGAGGUGAGGAGCAGCAGCGGGGCCACGUGAGUGUGGUGUGUGAUAUUUUUUUUAGUUCAUUGUCUCUUGUUCCAAGUUUUAGACCCACAGCACAUUUCUGUACUCACAUAUGAGUAAGCUGUGAACGUUGCUGAUGUAAUGCUGCCUUUUGUGGAGCUGUUUUAGUAUUUAGGGCACGGGUGGUGCACUCCUUCAGUGCUGGUUGCCUCUUAUUGGGGUGCCCUGCCCAAAUGUGGGGCAACAACACCCUGAAUUUUCACUUUUCUCAUAUGAGUUUUUUUGCCAAACUGCAUUUUCCCUCACUCCUAAUGUUGCCCUUGUAAUUAGGGCAAAACUAUCAGGUUUGCAGCCCCGAGAUAAGGUGAAACAAUGAGUGCUUGGGGUUGAGCAGGAGGUUGUUACAGAUCUGCUCCGUCCGAUGACUCCAGGAUCUGUGACUCUGGGACCCAGGCUGUGUGUGUUAAGGGUGUAAAUCAGUGCCCACCCACAGGUACCUGAGCCCCGCACACUCUGCCAGUGCUCAGCAGGCUGAGGCUUCACUGGGGAUUUGUGUUGUAAAUGCUCCCAGACCUUUAAUAUCUGAAGUUGAGAUGAGAGGGCCACAGCAGAGGCCCCAAACCUUUAGGAUGUACAAUCUGCAGAAGUUAUGUGUUGAUCUCAAGCAGUUACACUCCAGAGGGAUGAAAUUCAGUGGGUAAGAAGCUGAGUUUUCUUGGUUUUACUCCUUAGGUGGUUCCCACUGAGCAAUCGUCCUUGUUACCGAAUGUUACGGUGCUUAGAAAUAAGCCAGGGGAAAUUAUUUAUUUAAAAAAAAAAAAAAAAAAGGGAAGGAGAAACAAAAAGUUGAAGGAAGAGUUCUCUAGGCUGCAUAGCACGGCGAUGCUCGCUGCCUGCAGUGAUCCUCCAACGCACAAAGAUGCUGGGAUGGGCUGGCUGCAAACCUGCAGCCCCCGAGCCACCAGCAGAUGCCUACUGUGAGCUGCUCACGCACAACGUGCUGUAAUGACUGUACACAGGGAUAAGGAGUUAGGCUCCAUCGAGGAGCUCGUGGUUUUAAUGAGGUAUAGCUGUUGUUGUUUUUUUUUUUUUCCCUGCCAGAAUUCACGACUGUAGCUGAUGAGUGUUGGUAGUUGUCGGUUUUUAAUCACUGCUUCAUGUCUGCUCUGCAGGGGUGGGUGGCUGUGGGUUCCUGUGCUCCCCAAGCAAUGCUGCAGCAGCUGCACUAGGAUGGAGCCAUCUGCAGCGGUCAUACUCUGCCCCUCAGUGCUUUAAGCCAAAGCAUAGCUUCUCCUCCUGCACCUUAACAUGUAAAAGCUGUACAUACAUGUGUCUGUAAAGCAGAGCAGUGGCAAAUUUGUGGUGACCGUGGGCUCAUUGCCAUGCAGGUGAAUGGGAGGUGACAGCGUGGGUGUUGCAUGUCCCAGGUGAGGCUCUGCCUGUGCCAGGUGCUUCCUUGAAACCACCUGACUGCCCUGGCACCGCUCGUGCAAACAGCCCAGGAUAAAUAAGGGUUGCACAAUUUACCUGAAUUUGGGAUUAGCGGGGGCUUGCACUGCUGGUCACACAGAGCCGUGGUGUUGGGCUGCAUUCAAAGCACUCCAAUAGUUCACAAAGUGCUGAAUGUCCAGUGGUGGACUUGUCUGCUGCGUGAGCGUUGCACCAACACCAGAUUUGACUCCUGUAUUUCCCUGACUUCUCUUUUCAUCCUCUUCCCAUGUCAGAGGUGCCCUGUGCUGGUCUCAGGGCGCUGCUCUGCGUUGCUGCGUGCUGCUUGCAAACUGCAUCCGUGUGCUGUGCGUGGGGAGGGUGAUGUUCCGUGUUUCCCAGUGUUCUGCUGUGUUACUGCUUGCUAAUGAUCAUUUUCUAGGUUUUUAAAAAAAAAAAAAGCAGCAAUGUAUGCAGAGUUGUUGGGCUGUGUCGUGUACUCUUCGCACUUACGCAUAAAUAUCCCAUGAGCGUUUAUUUACAGUACAGAGGUUUUAAAAAUAAAAUCUUGUUUCCUCUCA